GGGCCAAAAGAAGGGUACAUAUACUAAAAUUGGAACGAUACAGAGAAGAUUAGCAUGGCCCCUGCGCAAGGAUGACACGCAAAAUCGUGAAGCGUUCCACAUUUUU
rnacentral:snRNA from 1 species